AUGAAAACACCAGGGUGGACGCAAAGAGUUCGAGUUGGUGCUGCUGCUCCAGGAAGGCCUCCUUGUGUAGACCGGAUAACAACGCUUGAGAAGACUAUGAGGGAAUUUGCGGAGCAUCCAGGGGAUGUGGUUAUGGUGCCAAAGAUUGCGACCAGUUUUGACACACUCAGAGAAGCUUAUGACUUUUAUAGUCUGUAUUCAUGGGAGAAGGGAUUUGGAAUACGAUAUGGAAAGAGCAGGCUUAAUGUUAGCAGGAAUAAGUGUAUGCAAGAGAUAGUUUGCGGUUGCGCGGGGAAGCCAAUUGUUGAAAAUACUCGUUCCUGCCGGUGUGAAUGCCCAGCACUCAUAAGAUUACUUCGGUCAAAGGACAAUGGAUGGUACAUAGCAGAACAUCGAGAUGGUCACAAUCAUGCACUCUCCCAAACUUAUGGACAGACAAUACACUGGCCGUCACACAAGCAUAUUGAUGUUUACAGCAGGGACCUAGUGAAGCAGCUCCGACAAAAUAAUGUCAACCUUGCUAAGGUGUACAACAUUGUAGGCAGCUUCUUCAGGAAGAUGGAGAAUGUGCUGUUCAUGAAAAGAGCAUUGAGAAAUUUGUGUGGCCAGAUUUUCCGUUAG
rnacentral:rRNA from 1 species